UGACUCAAAGUAAAAUGAACCGAAAAUUUAUUUUCAUUAUGAAAAAUAUUUUUUUAUUUGUUUGGUUACGAAUUUGAAAAAAAAAAAAUUGAAGCUUUCAUUUUCUACCAUUUUUCGCCAAAAAACGAAAACUCAAGCUACGUAAAAUUUUUUUAUUUAUUUAUUUCCUAUUGAAUCAAAUAAAUAAUGACAGAUGCUUCCGAAAAUUAUAGGUCAUCUGUAUUAAUUCCUCCUUGAUGGAAUGGUUUUUUUGUGUGUGUGUGUGUGUGUG
rnacentral:lncRNA from 1 species